rnacentral:rRNA from 1 species
AAUCAUGGUUAAGGAACUCGGCAAAAUGCCCCCGUAACUUCGGGAGAAGGGGGGCCCUGAGCGUGAUCUGCCCGUGCGGUGGGGAGCGUGUAGGGGUCGCAGAGACCAGGGGGAAGCGACUGUUUAUCAAAAACACAGGUCCGUGCGAAGUCGUAAGACGAUGUAUACGGACUGACUCCUGCCCGGUGCUGGAAGGUUAAGAGGAUUGGUUAGCCUUUUUUGGGCGAAGCUGAGAAUUUAAGCCCCAGUAAACGGCGGUGGUAACUAUAACCAUCCUAAGGUAGCGAAAUUCCUUGUCGGGUAAGUUCCGACCUGCACGAAUGGAGUAACGACUUCCCUACUGUCUCAACCAUGAACUCGGCGAAAUUGCAGUACGAGUAAAGAUGCUCGUUUCGCGCAGCAGGACGGAAAGACCCCGUGACCUUUACUAUAGUUUGGUAUUGGUGUUUGGUUUGGCUUGUGUAGGAUAGGUGGGAGACUGUGAAGCAUGGACGCUAGUUUGUGUGGAGUCGUUGUUGAAAUACCACUCUGGUCAAUCUGGAUGUCUAACUUCGGGCCAUGAUCUGGUUCAGGGACAGUGCCUGAUGGGUAGUUUAACUGGGGCGGUUGCCUCCUAAAGUGUAACGGAGGCGCCCAAAGGUUCCCUCAGCCUGGUUGGCAAUCAGGUGUUGAGUGUAAGUGCACAAGGGAGCUUGACUGUGAGACUGGCAGGUCGAGCAGGGACGAAAGUCGGGACUAGUGAUCCGGCGGUACGUUGUGGAACGGCCGUCGCUCAACGGAUAAAAGGUACCUCGGGGAUAACAGGCUGAUCUUGCCCAAGAGUCCAUAUCGACGGCAUGGUUUGGCACCUCGAUGUCGGCUCGUCGCAUCCUGGGGCUGGAGUCGGUCCCAAGGGUUGGGCUGUUCGCCCAUUAAAGCGGUACGCGAGCUGGGUUCAGAACGUCGUGAGACAGUUCGGUCCCUAUCCGCUGCGCGCGUUGGAAAUUUGAGAAAGGCUGUCCUUAGUACGAGAGGACCGGGACGGACGAACCUCUGGUAUGUCAGUUGUACCGCCAGGUGCAUGGCUGAUUGGCUACGUUCGGGAGGGAUAACCGCUGAAAGCAUCUAAGCGGGAAGCCUGUUUCGAGAUGAGAUUUCCUGGCACUUUUGGUGUGUGAGGCUCCUUAUAGAUGAUGAGGUUGAUAGGCCGGGUAUGGAAGCGGGGACUGAAGACUCGUGGAGUUGACUGGUACUAAUAGGCCGAAGGCUUACUUUU